GCUUGGCCUUCACAUAAGUUUCGAUUCUUGUGAAAGCGAUAUUGAGGAGAUGCUGGGUGGUAGUCUUGCAGCCCUGUCGACGUCAACGUAACCAUAGCCAGGCAUUUAGCAGCCCUGGGCACCAGUUCUGUUCCUGCAGUCAGCUCCGCCAGCCAUGCUGCAGCCCUGUGCACCAUCUGUGUAUCUGCAGUCUGCAUUGCCAACCACAAUGAUGCAGCCCUGCAUGUUGACUAAUUCUGAAAGCAGUGAACCUGUUGCAGCUCUGUCGAUGGUGGUGCAGAUGCCUAUGCAUCACACUAGGCCAUUUGUUUCGAGAUGCAGGAAUGGUGGUGCAGUAAGGUACUCAGCCAUGUAUUGUGCCAUUAUUUGUACUCACAUGUUUGUGAUACACAUAAUGGCGGGUCCAGUUAUAUCCCACUUCCUGAAGAUAUUUUCACUAAACAUGCAUGCAUUAAUGUCCAGAAACUUGUGGAUAAUUAUUGCUUUGCAUGGUCACUUCUGGCUUGUGACAGAAAUUACCCUAAGCAUGCAUAUCACACAGGUACACAUAAAAAAGCUGAUGUCUGUGGGCACUAUAAUUUCCAGAGCAUCAAGUUCCCCACAAAACUAAAGGAUAUUCCAAAAUUUGAGAAGCAGAACCCUGAUUAGUCAGAUUAGUCAAUUUAUGUAUACACCCUGGCAGUUGAUGAGACAGAAGAUGACAAAGAUGACCAUGAGCACACUGUACAGAACAACACAGAAGUCAUGUGAAUAGCAGUUGGAUUCCUCUUCUUUUCCAAAUUAGCAGAUAAAUUCCCCAAACACAUAGACCUGUUGCUAAUCUCUGAGGGAGAUGAGCAGCACUAUGUUUGGAUCAAAAA